rnacentral:lncRNA from 1 species
GGCAGAGUCAAUAGUACAUCUUGCCUGAUGCUGAGUCAAACUUAGGCUCUAAUUUUCCUGGGUGUCAGCUGACUGCAAAAACAGUGCCACGUGUCCUGGAAGGAGCGCAGGCUGAGCCAAGGCUUGGGAGCCGAUGCUGCUUGUCCUCCUGCCUGACGAUGACAUAACGUCCAGUGGAAGGACCCAGGGGGACAAAAUGUAACAGAAGACACGACAACAUUGAGAAAGCACAGAGGAUUCUCAAUUGUAGCGAGGGUUGCAGAUCCCUUUAGCUCCUUGGAUACUUUCUCUAGCUCCGCCAUUGGGGGACCUGUGAUCCAUCCAAUAGCUGACUAAGCCAUCAGUAGCCAAGAGCAUCCUGAGCCCUUGUCCUAUCCAUGCUUGAGUGUUGACCGGCCAAUUCUUGUGCAGACACAGUGUAGGCAACUGUAGGUGUUGUGAGGUUAGUAUUGGAGUUCAAAGGAUUCACAGCUGAGUAAAGCCAUUGCUGCCUUUCCUCCUCAGUAACUCUGCAUAGCACCACCCAGCACUUGGAAGAUUAAACGAUCCAGAUUGUAUUGCUUUUGAAGGAUUUAAAGCUUCUCCGCCCAGUUUUCCAUCCAGAGAAGUUGGACAUUAUAACUAGGUUUGCUGAGGUUGCUGUUCUGCAUAAACACGCAGUACAAAGAGGCAGAGGAGUGUGUAGGGUCAUUUCAGAAAUUGUUCAAAAUUCUUCCUUAUCAUAAGCCAAAAUUCAUUUAA